CUGAGAAUCCUGCUUUGUCACCUCCUGGUUAUGUGUCUGGGAAGAUUUUUUGGAGCGUCUCUGCCUUUUCCCGCCUAAGUGGUACCUAUUUAUCUACUCACACUUGCAUGUUUCCGAAUUGCUAGGUUGGCAGGAAAGACUAGAGUUCUUUCUCCCACCCUGGACAUUAUUCCACAGAUAAAUAAACCCCAUUUGCCUAGUUUCCAACAUAUCUCACAAACUCUGAGCAUGCCUACCAUAGAUGUGGGCGAAACUCCAGGAGGGAAUGCUUCGGGAACAUGGACCAGACAGCCCAGAAAACUCACAGCAACCCACUACUCUAUUCAUAGAGCAACAUUGUAAUGCAUGUGGAACUACUUUUGCUGUAUGAUUCAAGUUGAGUGGGGUCUUUGUGUACGUGUGGGCAGAGCAUGGUCCAUUUAGGGACUAAGGCUAAAUCAGUUGAAUAUGAUAUAUCAUGAUUGGUAAUAAUAACACCGAUUUUAGGAUUUAAUUGGAUUGGUGUUGCAUGGUCAAGAGAACCUCAUUGAUGCAUCAAAUAUAAACAUCCUCCCCCUACAUAAAAGAGUGGAGGGGGGAUUUGUGUUAGUUCCUGCAUUACUCGUACACAUGAUUUCUGCUCAUAGCCAACUAUGCUUUCUUUCAACAGAAUGGCUCCUAAGAAGAAGCGAAAGGCUCCAGCCAAAAAGGCUCCAGCCAAGCGCCCACCCCCUUCAAACCUGGCCUCUUUGGACGAAGAUGACACCAAAACGGAAGUUCUCAAAAACCUAUUGGCUCGACUGGCUGCACUGGAAAAGAAUCUAGGGUUGGAGUGUAGAGGAGAGAGCGGCACGAGUUCUGGCCAGCCCAUGGUUAAGCUUGUGGGUCCUGCCGAGACACUGGAGACAGCUCCCCAAGUGCGCAUAUUAGAGUCAACAUCAUCAAGCAUGGAAGAAGUUCCCACAGGAAACAACAACACGAACAUAUUGCCCUGGGGUCCUUCUAACUCACAGGCUAGUGCUGCCCACAAGUCAAUAGCAUCAGUGCUGCAGCCUCAGGAGAGCUGCUCUCAGCAGGCCAGCCAGCAGGAUUUAGGGACAAUAACCGGUGUCCAGACAUUGCCAGACAGACGUGGUCCCUAUAAUCAGUAUUGGGGUACUGCUGACUGGCCUCAGAAGGGUGGCUGUCGGGAGCACGCAAUUGAGUUGGGUAGCCACCUUACACAAAAAACAAUAGACAAAAUCCUGAGGGCAGAAUACAUAGAUAUAUUUUCACUGAUGUUUAGAGAACCGGACGAAUCAGACGAUGAAGAGGAGGAAGAAAUUAAGAGAAAAAUAGAUAAAAACUGGGGUAAUUGGUUUACUUGUUUUUUGAUAUACGCCGGCGUUAUAACAAAAGCAUAUCCGGCCAGAGCGCAUUCGCUAAUUGAGUAUUUGAACAUUAUCUACAAAGCACGUGUGAACUUUAGGGGCAACGCUUGGUUGCUGUAUGAUGAGCGUUUUAGAACAGAAGCAGCUCAGGAUCACACAUUGAGAUGGGACCUCAUUGAAGCACAGCUGUGGUUGCAGAUAAUGGUCUCUCCACGGAAGACUCAGGGUGAAAAGGCCGACAGCGGCCAUACCAUUCUAAAUUUCGAAGAGGAGCAGCGCCUUUGGCAAAUGCCCUCCCAUCAGCCACAAAAGAAGGCAGUGUGCUGGUUAUAUGCCUCUCAAGGUGUGUGCAAUAGAGAGGUUUGCAGAUUCCAACAUUUCCGUUAG
rnacentral:lncRNA from 1 species